AUUAGAGUGAUCUCGCUUUACCGGUAAAUGCAACACUUCACAAUGAUAUAUGCUCAGUGCUCAUCUUGUCCCAAAACGGAGACACUGCUAGAUACAAUGCAGUCCUCAUUGCAAAUUGUCACUCGUCCCACAAGGAUCAUUUUAUCAUGCCUUGCUUCACAAGCACUCAUUAGCUCUAAACCCUUUUAAAAACGUUUUUGUUUUGUUUUUCUCUUUCCCUAGUGAAUUUCUUAUCCGUUCUUCCAAACCAUUAACCUUUUCAGGGCUAUUAGAGAUGGUUUGCAGAUCCUUACAAUAUUUCAACCAAAACCACGAACACUAGAAGUUAAAUUUCCCUAUCUUGUGAACUUUCUUUCAGCCACCAUUAACUCAAAGUGGAAUCGUGAAAAGUGUUUUAUCAGUUAUGGAACCAGCUGUAUCAUUGUCAAUUAGUUCAAUUUAUCAGAUCUCCCAAGCAAUCCAACAUUAGAAGAGUAAAAAAAAUAAAAAUGAUUGUCUGCAUGAAACAAUAUAAAACUAUCUGUAGAUAAGACGCUUAUGUGGUUGAUAAAGGGUUGAGAUAAUAGGAUCCACUACAGCCACACUUGGGGGAUGUCUUUUGGGAUUGCCUGGCACAAAUGGGAACGCAUCACAAAGACAGUCGUGUACCCUUAUAAAUAUUUGAUUCUGUAUUGUGUAUGAUUCAGAUAUUUUGGAUAGCAUACGGGGGUGGAAAGAAAAAAAAAAACGUCAGCAAU